rnacentral:rRNA from 1 species
GACGAACGCUGGCGGCGUGCUUAACACAUGCAAGUCGAACGGGAGUAUUGAAGAAGCUUGCUUUAGAGAUACUUUAGUGGCGGACGGGUGAGUAACGCGUGAGGAGCUGUCCUAUGCAGGGGGACAACAGCUGGAAACGGCUGCUAAUACCCCAUAAGCCGAGAGGUAAAAGGAUCAAUCCGGCAGAGGAGGUACUCGCGUCCUAUCAGCUAGUAGGUGAGGUAACGGCUCACCUAGGCGAAGACGGGUAGCCGGCCUGAGAGGGCGAACGGCCACACUGGAACUGAGAUACGGUCCAGACUCCUACGGGAGGCAGCAGUGGGGAAUAUUGGGCAAUGGGGGAAACCCUGACCCAGCGACGCCGCGUGGGUGAAGAAAUCCUUCGGGAUGUAAAGCCCUGUUGUAUGGGAAGAGCGGAAGACGGUACCAUACGAGGAAGCCCGGCAAACUACGUG